CAUUCUUUGAACGAUUUAUUUUGUCAUUGUCAUUUGUAUUCCAAAGGUGUUAUUGAAAAUAUUUUCAUUUAAUAUCUUUAAUUCCUCUUUGUGCGCUCUUGAUAAGUUUACAUAAUGAGUUUCGACAUGGCAGUGACUGGCCAAGAAAAGGAAGAACGAAAAUACUAUGAUCGCAAUAAAAACGACGAUUUGCAGAUCUCCAGAACUGAUAUGAAUAUGUUGAUAAUGAAUUAUUUGGUAACAGAGGGGUUCAAGGAGGCAGCUAUAAAGUUCCAACAGGAGGCCGGACUCCAGGAACCAGCUCUCUGCAGCUCACUGGACGAGAGGAUCAUGAUCCGUGAAGCAGUGCAGACUGGCCGCAUACCUGAUGCUAUUGCUAUGGUCAACGCUCUUCACCCAGAGUUGUUGGACAAUGAUAGAUACCUGUACUUUCAUUUGCAGCAACUUCAACUCUUGGAGCUGAUCCGCGCGGGCCGAGCGGAGGAGGCUCUUGCAUUCGCCAGCGCGACCCUCGCAGAGGCUGGGGCUAACGACCCCAACGCGUUGACUGAGCUGGAGCGAUCGCUGGCCCUGCUCGCCUUCCCAGACCCUCACGCGUCGCCCUUCGCCGAUCUCUUGCUGCCUUCGCAUAGUCAAAAGAUCGCUAGUGAACUCAACGCUGCGAUACUCAAGAUGGAAAACCAAGAGUACACAAAUCCGAAGCUGUGCAGCCUGCUGCGCAUGAUCCUGUGGUCGCAGAGCGAGCUCGACAAGCACAACAUCAAGUACCCCAAGAUGACAGACCUCGCCAACGCCACCAUAGAGAAGCCAAAGCAUGGCCGGAGACUGUGAUCUGCUGCUUCCCCGCUGAUGACCACAAUGGAUAAAACAGGACAAUUGGACUCACACGGAUCCACAUCGACGUUCAGUUCAGUUGGCGGGUACCACCAUCGUAUCAUAGUGUCGCUCAGUUACCUCCACUUACAACUUUGCUUAUGUAAAAGUUUUA
rnacentral:misc_RNA from 1 species